rnacentral:rRNA from 1 species
UCAGACUGCAGGCUGCAACUCGCCUGCACGAAGUCGGAAUUGCUAGUAAUCGUAGGUCAGCAUACUACGGUGAAUACGUUCCCGGGCCUUGUACACACCGCCCGUCAAACCAUGAGAGUUGGCAACACCCGAAGUCGGUAGUCUAACCGCAAGGGGGACGCGGCCGAAGGUGGGUUCGAUAAUUGGGGUGAAGUCGUAACAAGGUACC